UACGUAGGUGACAAGCGUUGUCCGGAUUUACUGGGCGUAAAGAGCGCGCAGGCGGUCAGAUAAGUCGAAUGUGAAAGCCCCCGGCUCAACUGGGGAGGGUCAUUCGAUACUGUCGACUCGAAGGCAGGAGAGGGUAGUGGAAUUCCCGGUGUAGUGGUGAAAUGCGUAGAUAUCGGGAGGAACACCAGUGGCGAAGGCGACUACCUGGCCUGUUCUUGACGCUGAGGCGCGAAAGCUAGGGGAGCAAACAGGG
rnacentral:rRNA from 1 species